AGUGAUGCUCAUGACUUCCAUUAAAAAAAAUUGUAUCUUCAGAUAUGAUUGGAAACAAAAUAACGAACAAAAGAACUACCCCAUGUAACAACUCGUCAUUGGCCAUAGUCAAAGCCUCUGAAAUUCUUGUAAACAUAUACUAAGAAGAUAGUAUCAAAACCAAUGACAAAUUGAGUAUCUGGCUUUAGUAUAACCAAGAUGAACAAUAAGGAUUACCAGAGAACAUACUUUUUAUAAUUUAUAAGAAAAUAAUAAACAUGGAAAGUACAAAUUCAGGUUACACAAGAAAAAGUGACUCUUAGGCAACUAAAUUUUUUAUGCUUCAAAGAAUCAAUUUAAGAAGAGGAAGAUGCUGCAAUUGAUGAAAUUGACACAUGAAGCGCAUCAUAAAAGGCAUAAUAAAAGUUUAACAUGCCUGUCCCAAAGCAAAUACAUUUUGCAUUUAGGAAAGACAAAGCUUUAUCUGAUUUGUUCCAAGAGAGGUAUCAAUGACUAGACCUAGCAAAAAAGACUAUGCAUUUUUAUAUUGUAAACUGCAAAUAAGAUAUAUUCAGUGGGAUUGGCAACAUUCAUAGACCAAGUAAGCCAAAAACACUCAAACAAGACAUCCCAAUGAGAAAAACGCACUGCCAAUUAGUCAUUUUGCUAAUUACUAAAUAGAAAAUUUACAUCAGGAUUACAACUGCUAAAAACCCUGUGCAUGCAUCAUCAUUCUUCACAAACCUACAACCGUGUAAAAGAAGAAUGACUUAAGAAUCAAAUAUAAAAAAUGGGUAUUUUGCAAAAAGUGGUAGAAGAAAAUGAGAAAGGCCUCAGAUCUCAUAGCUUUUGAAAAAUCAGCCACAGCGUUUCUUUCUUUUCUUUUCUUUUUUGCUUGAGGCAGUUCCUUCAAAGCAUUUUCACCACUAAUCGUAUAAUUCUAUUCUAUGUAUGUAGGUAUGUACAUAUGUGGAAGGAGGUGAUGAUGAUGAUGAUAGAAGUGAAGGUGAUGGCCAGACUGCGUCAAUAAAAGAUCCGGUGAUAAAAAAAAGAUAAAACUGCUGUAGCAGCAGCUGCUAAAUUACCCUAUACAUGAUAAAGAUCUAGAUCAAGAAGUAGGAAAAAUGUUUACCUGACCUUGGAUGAAGGGGAGGAAUGCCGGAGUCGAAGGAAGCAAGAAAUGGCUACUGUUUAAGUGUUUUUGAUAUGAGAAUUUGUGAGGGAAAAAUAAGGUUCAUAAGGUAAGGAAUGGGUAAACGGUGAAGAGGGAAGGAAAUAGAAAUCCCCAAAUAUCUCUACUUAAGCUCAGAAUGG
rnacentral:lncRNA from 1 species